CAAACGGAAGAUGGCGACCGGCGCACGGGUGAGUAACACGUAUCCAACCUGCCGAUAACUCCGGAAUAGCCUUUCGAAAGAAAGAUUAAUACCGGAUGGCAUACGAAUAUCGCAUGAUAUUUUUAUUAAAGAAUUUCGGUUAUCGAUGGGGAUGCGUUCCAUUAGUUUGUUGGCGGGGUAACGGCCCACCAAGACUACGAUGGAUAGGGGUUCUGAGAGGAAGGUCCCCCACAUUGGAACUGAGACACGGUCCAAACUCCUACGGGAGGCAGCAUG
rnacentral:rRNA from 1 species